rnacentral:rRNA from 2 species
UGGGGAAUAUUGCACAAUGGAGGGAACUCUGAUGCAGCGACGCCGCGUGAACGAAGAAGGCUUUCGAGUCGUAAAGUUCUUUUCUAUGGGAAGAUAAUGACGGUACCAUAAGAAAAAGCCCCGGCUAACUACGUGCCAGCAGCCGCGGUAAUACGUAGGGGGCUAGCGUUGUCCGGAAUCACUGGGCGUAAAGGGUUCGCAGGCGGAAAUGCAAGUCAGGUGUAAAAGGCAGUAGCUUAACUACUGUAAGCAUUUGAAACUGCAUAUCUUGAGAAGAGUAGAGGUAAGUGGAAUUUUUAGUGUAGCGGUGAAAUGCGUAGAUAUUAAAAAGAAUACCGGUGGCGAAGGCGACUUACUGGGCUCAUUCUGACGCUGAGGAACGAAAGCGUGGGUAGCAAACAGG